rnacentral:rRNA from 1 species
GACGAACGCUGGCGGCGUGCUUAACACAUGCAAGUCGAACGGAAAGGCCCUGCUUUUGGGGGGUGCUCGAGUGGCGAACGGGUGAGUAACACGUGAGUAACCUGCCCUUGACUUUGGGAUAACUUCAGGAAACUGGGGCUAUUACCGGCAAGGAGCUCCUGCUGCUUGGUGGGGGUUGGAAAGAUUCGGCGGUUGGGGUUGGACUCGCGGCGUAUGGGCUUGUUGCUGGGGUAGUGUAUGACCAAGGCUUGGACCGGUGGCAGGCCUGCGCGGGUGACAGGCCACAUCGGGACUGGGAUACGGCCCAGACCCCUACGGGACGCAGCAGUGGGGAAGAGUGCAUAAUGGGAGGAAGCCUGAUGCAGCAACGCCGCGUGCGGGGUGACGUGAUUCGGGUUGUAUUGCGAUUCCGCCUGUGACGAAGCGAUAGUGACGGUAACGGGUAAAGAAGCACCGGCUAACUACGUG